UGGUGAAGGAUACAAAAAAAACAACAACAGCAAUAGAAUAAUAUUAAACACAAAGUGAACCCGUCUUCCUUCAUUAAAUAGGUUCUUUUAGAUGUUAAGGAGGAAUUGACUUAACCAGGCUGGCGGAGAAUGAAGACAACCGGACACCUGCGGCAGAUGGGGAAUCAGUGAACUUUUAUUGAGACAGAGACAACCUCUCAACACAGCUCACAUCAGGAGAUUCCGAAGAUUUGCUAUGAGGAGAAAAGAGUCCAGGCACCACCCUGCCCAGGGGUCGGCUGCAAGCAGUCUCGGUUCCAGACGAAAGCAGUAACAGCUGUCCUGCACACAAGGAUACAACGAGUCAGUGCAACCAGGGUUCUUCCUGGUUCGGUGGCAGCAGCGCACUGUGUGUAAUGAAACCAGGUGUCACCUUUCCCUUCGAGCCUG
ensembl:lncRNA